rnacentral:snRNA from 1 species
AUAUUUAUCUGGGGAGGAGAUGACAGGGUUUUCCCAGAGUGAGGCUCACUCUUUGCAUCUGGGUUGUACUAACCCCACUGUGAGAAACUUGAUCCCAUAAUUUGUGAUAGUGGGGGGCAGUUCAUGCUCUUCCCUG